rnacentral:rRNA from 3 species
UAGAGUUUGAUCCUGGCUCAGGACGAACGCUGGCGGCGUGCUUAACACAUGCAAGUCGAGCGGAAAGGCCCUUCGGGGUACUUGAGCGGCGAACGGGUGAGUAACACGUGAGCAACCUGCCCUUAGCUCCGGGAUAGCUCCGGGAAACCGGAAUUAAUACCGGAUACGACCACGGUCGACAUCGGUUUUGGUGGAAAGGAUUUCCGGUUAAGGAUGGGCUCGCGGCCUAUCAGCUAGUUGGUGGGGUAAAAGCCUACCAAGGCGACGAUCGAUAGCUGGUCUGAGAGGACGAUCAGCCACACUGGGAUUGAGAACGGCCCAAACUCCUACGGGGGGCAGCAGUGAGGAAUAUUCGGCAAUGGGGGCAACCCUGACCGAGCAACGCCGCGUGCAGGAAGACGGUCUUCGGAUUGUAAACUGCUUUUCUUUGGGACGAGAAGGGACGGUACCAAAGGAAUCAGCCCCGGCUAACUACAUGCCAGCAGCCGCGGUAAUACGUAGGGGGCGAGCGUUGUCCGGAGUUACUGGGCGUAAAGCGCACGCAGGCGGCCUGCCAAGUUUGAGGUGACAGUCUCCGGCUUAACUGGAGAGGGACCUUGAAGACUGGGAGGCUUGAGGACUUGAAAGGGACACNGAAUUCCGGGUGUAGUGGUGAAAUGCGUAAAUAUCCGGAGGACACCAAAGGCNAAGGCAGUGUCCUGGCAAUUCCUGACGCUCAGGUGCAAAACCAGGGGACCAAAGGGAUUAAUACCCGGGUAGUCCUGGCCGUAAACAAGACCACUAGGCCUGGGAGGUUUCAACCCUUCCGUUCCGCAAUAAACCCAAUAGUGGUCCU